GCCUAGUUAGCUUAGUUGGUAGUGCGUCUGCCUUGUAAGCGCUAGGCCGCGGGGUCGAUUCCCGCCCGGGGUG
rfam:Asian citrus Psyllid, Diaphorina citri - Florida Strain, whole genome shotgun sequence.